CGGCGAUAGCGGCCAGCCACGGAGGAGCAGGAGCGGGAGGAUAUCCCCUGCGCAGAUGUUUGCCCCUGCCACCCACGCCGUGGUUUUGCAGAGAGAAGCUGGGGGACCUGAUAAAGCAUCCAGGUCUUGACCUUUCAACCCUAAAGCUGGAUGGAGAGCAGACCAAACACUUGGAGGCUCCCUCCCUUCCAUCCCAGCUGUCCCCACCUUGUAUGCCAAGUCCUUCUCCUGGCUUGAGACUUUAACCUCCAGCAUCUGACAAACAGUGAGGGCGAAAGCAACAGCAGUGAUUACACAGUCUUCCAACUUCAGUGGGGAAAAAAAAAAAAAUAAUUUUAAAAGAGUCACGAAACAAGAAAAGGCCAGAAAAAUCAAACCCGGCAUAUACGGUGAAGCCUCAAACUGGUCCCAGCAUGAACAAGUGCCUCAAGCCAGGCAACCAAAAGCCCCAGGCUCCCCUCACCAGACUGUACACUCUCUAUGACCCAUAACGCUGUCGGCAGCACCACGGCAGCCCAGCCGCCCCCAGAAGGAGCUGCAAUGCCAAGGGCGAGAAGCAGGUUGCCCAGAAAGUCAAUAAACUCAGAUGGGCUCUCACCGAGCGCUUCUCCUCAAUCCACAGGGCACCAGCGUCAGCACUGAGCUGCCAGCCAGGGAUGCACGGGGACACAGCCAGCUGCUCUGGACGGGCAACAAACUCCAGGGCAUGUUCAGACCCCAUUUUACAGCUUUAGAAACCCACCAUGAUGCUGCCGGCUUUAGCCACAGUCUCCCUAUCCAAACCCAGUGCGAACACACGCUCUCCUGCCCACAAUAAGCACCAGCUACUUUCCAACACCCAAACCACCACUCAGAAUCCUCCACUCUGCCUUCAGCAGCUUCUUCACAGCCUGACUUUUUUUUUUUAAGUAUACAGCACAAAAAAACCACACACAGGCCAACUUCAGAGAUAUUCCCUCUAGAAAAAUUAAAUACUCAUAAUGCUUUUUUAAAGUGAAUUGGGCCCCUUAAUUUGCAUCUUAUAAUAAGGAUGUUAUCGUACUGGUUUAUGGCUCAGCUCUUUAGUUUCUAUCUCUCAGGGGUUAGAUUUCCCCUCAUGAGUUCAAUAGAUGUCUGUGAACUAAUGUAAUUUUUUAAAAGGCUUUUCUUCUGUAUUAACAUUACAACCUUUAUGAGUUAAAGGUUUUACUUGCCAAAGUGCGGGGCGUGUUGGCAUUCGAGAGCCAGGCACUGUACUUGCCAGCACAGCCGCGAAGGAUGCUGCAACCAGGGGUUAAUCCUGGGCAGCGGGUGGAAACCUUCCUCACCUCCUCAUACCGAGCCGAGCUCUCCAGCGUACUCCAGCUCUUACAUUUAGCUUAAUUAUAAAACAUUGUCACUUGAAUAUUAAAAUAAUGUUUAAUACACAGAAGGGAAUAAGCCAGUCCAGAAAAAUGCAUAAUUUCCCUGCGCCUGCCCUGCUAGUUGCAUGCAAUGAGCUCUUUUCUCUUCCCCUCUUUCUCCUGGCUGCCUCUUACAGCAAUGCUGGGAAUACACUUCCAAGAGCCUUUAAAAAGCAUUUAAAGGCCAAGGAGGUUUCACCCAUCCCCACACAUUCCAGGGAGCCCAUUCUCUGAUGCCCUCACCCUCAGGAGGCAGAGCAGGGCCAGGGUGGGAUUCUUCCUCCUGUUCCCUUCCAGCCCUGCAUCCAUACGGCAGCACCGGGGUCUCCAGGAGAGGAAAACAGCAACGACUUGACUAAAUCCCAGAGGACGUUUUUAAACUUGCCCAAAUUAGGGCCCAGGGGCGGAUGCUCGGUGUUUCAAAACAGCCGGUCUCCGAGGUGCUCAAACACGCUGCAGGUUUCUCCCCUGUCCAGCUGGCCACAGCACUCCUGCCCAUGGCCGCAGCACGCCAGCCACCCCUGCCCACGGGAACCGCCACCGAGCCAGCAUUUCCCGGGGAACCCUUCGUGCUCAUUACGGGAGGCCAGACGAAAUUAAAUUGGGGCCCACUGGUUCUGCCAUCUGAACUUCAUCACUGCUAAAGACGCAAUAAAAGUAAUAGCAACAACGAACAAGCCUCUACCAGAUGUGUAACUCUAUCCAGUGAGAUUCAGGAAUAAGGGCCAUAUUUGGGGUUUGGCUUUUCUGUUGCGGUCCUCCCCCCAACCCCAACUUUCAUUGGGAAUAAUUGAUUAUUUGGACCCCUGUAGAUGGCAAAUGUUAAGAGGGUGAAUUCUAGGGGGAGAGGAGGUUCAGGGGCUGUUGGAAUGGAGGGGCAGCAAGAAUGUAUUGACUUGAAGCAGAUACAACGUACAACCCAAUGGCGAUGCCUCAUCACAUCUGAAACGGGAAAACUGGAGUAGGGGGAAGGGGAGAAUAAAAAAAAAAAGCAAAUGAGUACCACUUUUAUUCUGGGGGGGGAUGGGGGGUGUUCAGCUCAGUCCUCAAUAAUAAUUUAGAGUAGGAUCACAUGAAAUAUCAUACCAGAGCAGGGAGCCCUGGAAAGGCAGCAUUGUUUAACAGGUCCACCUCGCCAUCAAAAAGUCUGCAGGUAAAGGCUCACCCCAGGUUUCACCAGCAUCCAGACAGCUCCACCACACACAGCAAAAGAAGAAGUGAGAUGCAAAACAAAAGUACAGGGUAAACAGCAUAGCUGAAAAAAUAACCUCCAGCAGCCCAAGGAUGCUGGUGCUUCCCUCCACGUUCACAGUCACAUUGCCAUCCCAUCAGCCCCACGAUGCUCCUGAGCCCACUGCUGCUGCUGACCCCACAGCUCGCUCAGUGGGAGCUGACACCAAGCUGAGGUUGAAACGAAACAUGGGGGGGAAGGGUUGCUUGAAAUCUCAUUCACAGGGGUUUAGAUCUGUUUUCAGAUCCCUUCUGGAGCGAGCUUUCUCAUCUUGUACAAGCCCACAGCACAAAUGCAUCAUGAAUCCAAAAUAUAUAUUAUUUUGAAAGCAAACUUUAAGUCAGACUUAACACAAGACUUGACCUCCGCUGCACUUCGGUGUCAUUAAAGUGUGCUUAGAAAUAAAAUACAGCACAGUCAAAUGGCCUUCAAGUUUGAAGCAGCUUUUUAAACUCAAAAAAAAAUCAAAGCUAAGCUAGCUAAUUCCCAGGUAUCUUGCUCAUCUCAGCCCCCUGGACCAGGAAAGAGAGCACUUUAGUUGAUUAAAAACUCCAAAACUUACGGAGCUUUGGUUUUUUCAUAAAGCCCAAACGUACUUCAUUUUUUAACCACGAUGUGUAGACUCACACCUUGGGAACAUGCUAAAAUACAAAACCCCUAGGAACAUUGCCCCUCUUGCAUCAAAACCAGAGCAAUCUCCAGCUUGGAGGCUAACAGCUUUCCAGCUCUC